rnacentral:lncRNA from 1 species
GGCCUGGCGCGUCCGCCGAGCGCGGGGGUUUGUUUAUUUUCCCGGUUGGUAGCGGCGCUGGCGCUGGUUAGAGGUUCGCCGGUGACGUGAGCGCCCGAGUUGGGGGAGAGGACCAGAACCACCUGCUGGAGAAAGGGAGCUACGGGGGCCGGGCAGGGUCCAAACGCCUCACGUGGGCGGCGGCGCCACGGUCUUCGGGGUCACAGGGAAGAGAAGGGCUCUCCUCAAGCGGGUGGAAGGAGGGAGGCCUCCCGAGGGAAUGAGACUCCAGGCCACUCCCCCGCAGCAAGGCAGGAUCACCUGCGUCGCGGAGAGCAGUUAGAGGUCCCUGGAGUGGAAAAGGGCAGUGGGACCUGGUAGCUUGGGUUCCCUGCAACUUGGGGUUCGACCUCCAGGCAAUGAAGUAGGGAUGGUCCUGCAAGUCAAGAUUCCAGUAGCAAGAGUGCAUCAGAUCUCUGUAAGGAAAAUAACUAACAUUGCUCAGUUCCCUGUAGAGUUGCAGGGCGCUUUGACGUUAUCUCCCUUGGUUCUCCAUCAGGUCGUAGUGGACUAAUUUUACAGGCGAAGUUAAGUGACUUACCCAAAACCUCACAGCUAAUAAACGGCAGAGCCGGCACCCAGCUGUACUGGCUUCCAGCGCAUCCCAUUAUCUCCAUAAAUCCCCCUGAUUCAACUAAUAUUAGACGCCCCACAGGUAAGAUGCUUCAGAGUUAGAGGGGAGUUGAAGAUACCUUUGCCUUCAAAGAAGUAAGGAAUGAAACAAAGAUAAAACAGACAAUAAAAGACAAACCAUGAUAGGUGCCACGUGAAAAGUGGCAGAGUACUGCCGGGAAUCAAAGAACCGUGUAUAUCUGUCUUGGGGAUAAGGAAAGAAACGCAGCAUGAAGGAGUAGGCAUUUGGGAUUGACCUUGAAGGAGACAGGGAGAGUUUUACAGCAAGAAGGGAUAGCAUGAGAAUAUAUAUGAAGGCGAAUCAGUGAAAGUUGUGUUGGGGAAAGAGCAAAGACUCCAGGUAUGUUGAGAGGUAGAAAAGACAAAGGAGUAUGGGGCCUAAGAUACCAAAUGGAUGAAUUUAUAUUUAAUUCAGUAUUUUGAGUUUUUAUGGUUCAGAAGUUUGGGGGAAGAAAAGGAAGGUUUUUUUUUUCUUUAUGCUAGUGAUUUAUCUGUGAAGGGAAGCAGAAAUCAGAGGUGGAAAAACUGACAGAUCUACUGUAGGCCAGGUAAAAGGUAAUGAUGAGUCUGACCUAAAGGGACAGCCAGGGGAAUUUAAAGAGCAUAGUUGAGAGAUGAUGUGCAUGCAGAAUCUAUAGAAUUUGCUAACUGAUUGAUUAAUUGUGGGUAGGAAGAGAGAAAUCAAAGAAAGUGGAGGUUUUGAGUUUCUAGAUAAUUGCAAGAGAGAAAAGAGACAAUUACAAAGGAAAGGAGAAGGAGCUACUUCUUGAGAGAAGAUCAGUUUAGAUUUAGACAUUUUAAGAAUUCAAAGGGUUGUCAAGACAGCCAGACGGACAUGGACACUAAUAAGUUAGAAAUAAAGGUUUUGUAAUAUGGGAAAGAGGACUGAGCUAGAAAAUAGACUCAUAGAUAAUCAGCCUAGGAGUGAUAUUGCUGUGAGAUAAAAGAAGAAAACAAAGUCAGAAUCUUGGAAAACACCCUCUUCAGAGUCUCGCUGCUCAAAACGUGGUCAGUGGCCCAGCAGCACUGACAUGAGGACCUUAGUUGGAAACUCAGAAUCUCAGGCUCCACCCCAGACCUGCUGAACCAGCAUCUUCAACUUAACAAGAACCCGAAGAGAUUUGUGCCACAUCAAAAAGUUUGAGAAGCUCUGAUCUAGAUGACCACAAGCCUCUGGGGUUGGCAGAGCCACAAGAAAGAAGGUGCCUGGAUGAAGGAGAGCUACCCACUGACCUGGACACCCAAUUAUGUCAUAGGUGCUGCAAUCUAGAGACAAAAUAUUCCUUACACUGCCAGAUACUUGCAAACUAAGGGGAACGAGCUUCCCUCUGAAUGUUUAUGAAGGAGAGACCACUGUGUCAUCUGUCUUAGAGCUAUUGGAAUCCUGGAUCAUUGUGGGAAAUGAAAAGAACUGGUUUUUAGCAAGGAGACCAAGAAACUCUACUCCCUAGGGGCUAGCAAUGAGAGAAAGGAAGCCUUGAGUCUUUGAGCACAGGGUGACAGUUUGGGUCCUAUGUGAGAUGAUCAAAUCCACAGCAACAGAGGAAAGGACAAAAGGAAAAGAUACUUCGAUGGAAUCAGCAGCCAUUGAUCCAAUGCCAACUCCAAGACUGGAACGUCGCAAUGAUAGUUCCAAGGCGGAAAUUUGAC